rnacentral:rRNA from 1 species
GCUCCGGGAAACUGGAAUUAAUACCGCAUACGCCCUACGGGGGAAAGAUUUAUCGGGGAAGGAUUGGCCCGCGUUGGAUUAGCUAGUUGGUGGGGUAAAGGCCUACCAAGGCGACGAUCCAUAGCUGGUCUGAGAGGAUGAUCAGCCACAUUGGGACUGAGACACGGCCCAAACUCCUACGGGAGGCAGCAGUGGGGAAUAUUGGACAAUGGGCGCAAGCCUGAUCCAGCCAUGCCGCGUGAGUGAUGAAGGCCUUAGGGUUGUAAAGCUCUUUCACCGGAGAAGAUAAUGACGGUAUCCGGAGAAGAAGCCCCGGCUAACUUCGUGCCAGCAGCCGCGGUAAUACGAAGGGGGCUAGCGUUGUUCGGAAUUACUGGGCGUAAAGCGCACGUAGGCGGAUAUUUAAGU